AGUUUGAUCCUGGCUCAGAACGAACGCUGGCGGCAGGCUUAACACAUGCAAGUCGAACGCCCCGCAAGGGGAGUGGCAGACGGGUGAGUAACGCGUGGGAACAUACCCUUUUCUACGGAAUAGCUCUGGGAAACUGGAAUUAAUACCGUAUACGCCCUACGGGGGAAAGAUUUAUCGGGGAAGGAUUGGCCCGCGUUGGAUUAGCUAGUUGGUGGGGUAAAGGCCUACCAAGGCGACGAUCCAUAGCUGGUCUGAGAGGAUGAUCAGCCACAUUGGGACUGAGACACGGCCCAAACUCCUACGGGAGGCAGCAGUGGGGAAUAUUGGACAAUGGGCGCAAGCCUGAUCCAGCCAUGCCGCGUGAGUGAUGAAGGCCUUAGGGUUGUAAAGCUCUUUUACCCGUGAUGAUAAUGACAGUAGCGGGAGAAUAAGCCCCGGCUAACUCCGUGCCAGCAGCCGCGGUAA
rnacentral:rRNA from 1 species